rnacentral:lncRNA from 1 species
AAGUUGAGUCAAACUUAUUGACUUUAACACCCAUAGGUAAAUUGGCAGCUUCGCAACCAAUGCCCCUUCCUUUGGCAAUAUAAACAUAUGGACCCUUUGGUAAUGGUACACGGGACUAUCACAGACUUAGCUUUUCUCUUUACCAUUUGGUCAACCGAGUUGACUAUGGCCGAUCCCUUUCCAUUGGGAAGAGAGAGCUUUACUGGAUAUCCAAUGUCACCAUUGUCAAUGUCCAUAAAGUUUUAGGAAGUUGAUCUUAGCAAAUAGAUAAGAUCAUUAAGGGUCUUGUCAUAGUCUGUUUCAUAGGUGUCCCAAAGGAACUCACUAUGUGACUUAGAAAGUGGUUGAACCACCAACUUUCUCAAGACUUUGACACCCAACUCUCCCGGCUUGUCAAUAUGUGACUACAUCUCCAAGAUGUGACCACACCUAGACCUUGCCUUGCUAAUAGGGCCUGAGUGACCUUAAACUUUUCAAGAACUUGUGGGUUAGGGAGAAUAAUUUGAAGAGGUGAAGAAGUAUGAUAUCCAUGGGACAUCAUCUUCAUUAGGAAACCUUGUUUCAAGAGAUUUGGGAAGAUCAUAGGUGUCUAAACCAGACAUCUUUUGGGAGAUAUUCAAGAUAGUUGAUUUAAAGUCCUUAAUAUGACACCCAAUAUGAAAUAUUAAGGCUAGGACCCAACAAACUAUUUUAUAACUUAGAAGAGGUAUGCCGUAAUCCAAGCUAUAAAAUAUUUGAAGGUAGGUGAAUGACGAUUCACCAAUUUCCACCAAGAUAAACGAAAUGUAUUAUUAGGUUUUAAUUGGUUUUGAAACUCCUAGAUCUUUGAGAUUCAUUGAACUUUUCAAAGGCAUGUUUCAAUCUCGAGUGUGCCCUUCAGGUUUUGUGACUGGGAUGCCGAGGAUCACAAAACAAGGUGUGAAGUAACCAUGCAAAUCACUUGGUACCCUUAAUAAAUUACCCCUCAAUCGAUGUGCCGGUUAACCACACACGCUCCAUCGAUACUAUGAUAAAUAUUAAGUCACCCUUUACCUACCUUGUUAAGUCCAAGUUAGUGUGCCGGUUAACCACACACGCUCCACUAACGACUUAGACAAAGUGUAAAGUGUAAUUUCAUGGAUUAGCACCUUAUUCACAUUUUUCCUAAGUAACUAAGAUUGGGUAUUAUUAAGAGUUUAGUUACUUAGUAUUAUCAUUAAUACUUUUAAUGAAGGGAGAAUUCUAGUCCUGUCAAACCCGUUCGGCUAACGACCCUCCACCAGUCAAGCAAGCGGUGGGUGAGAGUGGACACCCAUUAAGUUGCCAUUUUAUAGGCAACAACCUUAUACCCACCUUAUAGACCGGCUUCGUGAAUGAGGCGUACUAGCGGUAAGACUGACUUUACUCUUAUACAUAUAUAUAUUAUUAACUUAUAAUAUUAUAAAGUAUAAGGGUUGAAUUUUAACUUUUAAAAUUCUAAGGGCUAACUUGGAAUUAAAGUAUUCAUACUUGAAAACUUUUCAAAUUCCAAAACUUGAGGGCAAGUUUUGAAACUAUUCAAAACUAAUUAAUUCCAUAACUUAUGUGUUUAAAGUAGUUUUAAUCCAAAAACUCUUCAAGUUCCAUAACUUGAGGACAAGUUAUGGAAGACUUUAAACUAAUAAAAGAACUAACUUUUUCUUUAUUUUAUAACUUAUGGAUUUAAUUAUGGUUACAUAUUUUUCUUUAAUGAAGUGACUCUUGAACUUCCAUAACUUGAGGACAAGUUAUGGAGUCAAAAAAAAUUAUUCAAUGACACAAGACUCUUCAUUUUGUAACCAUUGCCAACUUUUAUGAGUUUUAUGAGUCUUUAAUGUGACUCUUCAUGUAACUUGAGGACAAGUUACACAAACACAUUUUAUACUCAACUCUUAGAUUAAAAUGGAUUGAAAACAACUAUUUCACUCAACAUUUCUAUUAAUCUAAGCAACUCAUAAGAACAAGAUAAUUCAAAUCAAACUUUUUCAUGUAAUUAGUCUAAACCUUAAACUAAUACAAAACAUGAAUCUAUUGACAAUUAUCUUUGAAAAUGGAUUAGCAUGAACAUUACCACAUCAAAAACAAGUUUAUAAGUUCAAAAACAACUUAGGGUAAUGUUCCUAGUCCAUUUCUAGCCAAAAAACUCGAAAAUAUGCUGUCUGGGGGUCCAACUCGUCGAGUGCAUGAACAAACUCGGCGAGUUGGAUCGAAUUCAUCACUUUUUAGGCAUGGACUCGUCGAGUCUCCUGAUGGACUCGCCGAGUCUGAUGGCCAGACAGCACCAGAUUCGUUUUUUCAGCUUCUAUUGCAGGUAUAACAAGAAAACAAGCCUAGGCUCUGAUACCACUGUUGGGUUUUGAGCAUUCUAACACUCCUAAGUGUACAUGCAACCCUAAAUACCUUGGAUCUAUGUUUUCUCUAUUAUACAUGCAAAUAAGAACUUCCAAGGUAUUAUCCUAAUCUAGCAUACAAAACAAUGACUAUAACAAGAUAGAAUACAUACCUCUUUGAUGUAGAAAGUCUUCAUGAAGCUUGAGUGCCUAGUGCCCCAAGUGUGACACCUCAAAUGGAAUCACAAUCAUCAAAACACUUGGAAUGACUUGAGAGAAUUCUACACUCUUCAAAAUCGGCUAGCCCUUUCUUCACUAUCACUAGUGGCCGAUUUUUCCUCAAUAAUAAGAUGCUUAUAUAGUUACACAAUUAGGGUAAACUCUUAAUUGUCAUGGCUUUCCAUUUCCUUGGAUCCAUGGGUACAAAUACACCAUGGAGCAUCCAUGGACCAUCCUAUGGGUUUUAGCCCAACUUGAUUAUCCAUGGAGCAUUAGCCCACUAUACAAGUAUGGAUGAUUUACACAAUCAACCCAUAUAUUUAAUUAGUCUUCUUUUGAUCACUUAAUUAAUCCUAGAUUAAUUCUUGAUCAAUACUAAUUAAAUAAUCUUAUUAUUCUUAUUAUUAAUAUACUAGAACUUAUAAUAUAUUAAUAACCAUAAGUGUCUUAUUUCUCUCAUUAUAGUCUAUCCAAGUGCAUGAUGGUAUGCAACCCAAAUGGACCAUGCCGGGUCGGGUCAAGUCUUACCAAUUAUAGUUAUGGACUUAGACAUUAAUCCAACAGUCUCCCACUUGGAUAAGUCUAAAACUAUUAUUGCGUAUGACUUCAGGAACCAACUGGCAAUCGUAGCUCUCAAAAGCUUCUGUCGAACUCUGACCUUGUAGAUGAACUCUGACCUUUGUCAAUGACUUGUCCAUUAGAUAAGGGAUCAUAUAUUCCUCCAUUCUAGAUAUCAUAUGGACUGAGACAUGGAUUAUAAUCAUUCUCUCUGUCCAUUUGUUGUUUCCCGAUUUCCGAUUUAUGACGACUGACUAAUUGAACAAAUCAAAUCAGUCCUGGCCCGGCCGAGCACUUCCAUUUGUCAUCAUCAAAUCAUCGAGGGGCCCACAGAUAUCGCUUUUAUCCCGAAGGUAAAAGGAAUGGAUAAACUUCGACUCAUAUGGCUUGUUCUACUACUUGUUGAAUCAUACACAAAGGCACGUUUUAUAGCACCGAGUUACCAAAUGCGUUUUCGUGCAAUCAAUGUACUAUCAACUCAUAGUAACAACUCAUAUCUCUAGGUUUGAAGAAUAUAAGAUAUUAUCGUCUCAUGAUCACUCGUGAUAAAAUCCAUGAAGUGAUUCCAAUGAGCGCGGGUUGAAUCCAAUACUCAGAACUUAUGAGCACUCAUGAGUGUUGUAGCCCUUUGUCCAACACCUUAGACCUCUACAAGCCAACCCAUGACAGUCUUAAUUCAUAUCUACUUCCAACAUAUGACCGACUGUGGAUGGUUUGAAUAACUUAGUCAUUCCGGAAGAAUAACCCAGUUUAUUCGGGAAGUCAAAACAUGCAAAAUGAAACACAAUAAUAAUUGAAUCCAAUAUGGUAUCAACCCUUUGAACAUAAAUAAAACACCUUUUAUUUAUCACCAUAUGAUUACACAUUAUUCAUUGUAUACUGUUUCAGCUAUCAACUUUAUUCUUGAAUUUAAAACAAUAGUUGUCCCAUGCUCCAAGCAUGUACACUAUGUUUUCUUAAACACUAGUCAUGCCACACACCAAGUAUGCAUACUAUGUUUGUCUAUGAUCUUUACUUUGUGAACUAGAUCAAUUGAACAUAACUUCAAUGAUUCUCUUUUCACACUCCCAAAUCCUUACUGCAAAUGCAAGAAUUCCAAAUUCAUGCCAUUUACUGAAAUCUGUUAGAUUCUAAACUUAUAUGCAUUGAUCCUCUUGUAAUGAUUAUGCACAAAGUCACAAAGACUUGGCAACAAUCAUUACAGAGUAUUCCAAAGGAGAUCAACUCCUUGGAAAUAUCCUUCUUGCAUUAAGUUUCCUUAAUCUUACACAGAUUGAAAAUUCUAACUUUGAAACAUUUCCAGAUUCCAUUUUGACUAUCACUUCUGAACAAGAGUUGCCUCCUUACAGAUUAUGUCAAUAUGGUCCUUCCAGAAUUAUCACUAUACUUCCAAUUGUCCUUGAGUAACCAAUCUUUGGUAAACCUUAGAUUGUCCUCGACAAUUGUUUAAUCCUUUUAGUCAUAUCCAGUUCUAAACCUUUUCCCUUCUUAAUGCCCCAGGCAUUUGGAAAAUUUUAGAACGGAUGAAUAUAGCACAUGUAAUCGAUCCUAUAUCCGAAGCAUAUGGGACACGAUUCAUGAUGUCUUACAUAAAGACUAAACCAGUCUUUUGCUAUAAUAUUUCCAUUUCAAUUUGCCAAGUUCUCAUAAUUCAGAUUAUGAAAAGGGAUGCCGUAAUCAUAAUCGAAUUUUAGAACGCAAAUAAUGGACCCAUAUACAGAAUUUCCUUAUGUUGAGCCAUUCCAACAUGAAAUUCAUAUAUAUCCUUGACUAAAUGAUUAAAACCUCACGAUCUAAGCUUAUAGAUUUGAGAUGAAGCAUAAUUUCCUCUCCCUUAAUUAUAGCAAAACAACUUUUUCCCAAUUGAAACUUUUGUUUUCUAUAAUUAACAUUGCUAACUUGCAAUACUUAUCAUAAUUAUCAUGCUCCCACUAACAUGAUGAUUAUUAGCAUAACACUUAUGCUCCCACUAGCUUUGACAUGUACUCAGAAAUCAGCUGGACAGUCUGAAAUUUAGAUUCAUACACCCUUUCCGUAGAUAGCUCACCUGUGUGUCUAAGCAAUUUCAAGAACCAUGAAAAGGGAUACCGUAAUCAUGGUCUCAAUUGCUUAGGCAUUUGCCAUUUCUCACAAGUCCAUGUUAGUGUGCCGGUUAACCACACGCGCUCCACUAACGACUUUUGAAAAUGCAAAUAACACAAUUGAUAUCUUCGUAAAAUCUACUUAGUGAAAGCGUUUCCUCACCAUCAUUUUCAUGAAUCGGAGAGAAACCUUAUGACACUUAGAUUUAUAUGGUGUAUGAGUUCCUACCCAUAUGAAUUUGUCAAACCAUAAUCACAAGACAAAGAUAAUGACAAAUCCAAAACCAUAUGGAUUGAACUCAAUCUUAACUUCUUGCCACCUGGCAGCUCAAGGGCCUGCCAUUGCUUCCAAGUUGUUAUGCAACAAACUGAGAACUCUAAGAACUCAUAUGCAAAGCCAACUUUAACUGGAAUGGGCACAGAUAUGUCAACACGAUAGGUUAUAAACCUCAAGUCGUGUGCUAGUGAAGAACUUCAGGUUUUAUUCUUGAUUAUUUCUUGAGACUUUCAAGACCUUUAAGACUCCCACUGUCCUCUUGACAUAUAAGACUCCCUUGUCAAACAUCCAAGAGAUAGUGCGGAUUCUAAUCAAGAAAAACACUUUACCCAAUUGGCCUAAGUUGGUCUUUGUUUUAUCCAAAACAUCACAACUUACCAAUUUCAAAUGUACAAGAGUAGAAAACUUUUACUCUUACAUUUGACAAGUGUUUUAAACCUUCUUUAAGACAUGUCACUCAAAUGACAAUCUUGGAGUAUGACUCUAAGACUUGUAUUGGAACGAAGUAUGACUCAUCUUCUUGAUUUAACCAUUUCAACAAUUCAAGUUCCUCUUCUUAGUCAUAAGAAUGCACUAAGAUUUCCUUAGAGAACUAAUUUUGAUAUGGUUUCUUAAUCAUUAAGAUGAUCACAAAACUGAUACUAAAGUACUCUCCCAUCUUUUCAGAUUUGAGAAACUUUUAUCCUUCUGCCUUAUUUGAUUCUUCUUAUCGAUCUUUAGUGGUGGACUUAAUCAGUGCACAAGAAUGUGUACUCGAUCCCUUAGUCCUUUACUUGACUCACACAUCCAUGUGAACAAGUAAUUAGUCUUAAUUUUCCAAAACUUGAAAGUUCUCAUUCAUCAUGCUAUACAACUUGCAUGAUUCCAAGUUCCGGUCCAAUUGAAACUUGGGUGAUGAGAAUCUUUCCUUAUUUGGUAAAUCUAGACAUUACCACAAAUGAAAGAAUCAAUUUCAUAUUUCCACUCUUGCUCUUAAUGGAAUCAUAUAAGCAACAAUUUUUCCUCAAAAGCCAUUGUAAGGAUAUUUUAAAAUAAAUAAAAUCAAAAAAAUUUUCUUUUAUUUUAAAACUUUGCGGAAAAACUUAUCCUUACAAUCCAUAUGAAAACUUGUUGUUAUCUAUUCCUAAGCAAUAUCUCAUAACUCCUAAGAAGUAGCUCAAGAAUCCGAUCUUCAAACUAUGCGAUAGAAAUCCAUCUACGCCAUCAGAUUCAGCAUAUUCUUUCUUUAAGUUUCUUCACUUUUCUUUGAUUCUUAAAACAUCACCAUGUGACCCAGUCACAUCAUGUAUCAAGAAUCUCAGAAUAGAAACUUAACAGAGUUAGAUAGUGGACUUUACCUGAAGUAGAGUCAAACUUAUUGACUUUAACAUCCUUAGGUAAAUUUGGCAGCUUCGCAACCAAUGCCCCUUCCUUUGGCAAUAUAAACAUAUGGACCCUUUGAUAAUGGUACACGGGACUAUCACAGACUUAGCUUUUCUCUUUACCAUUUGGUCAACCGAGUUGACUAUGGCCGAUCCCUUUCCAUUGGGAAGAGAAUGCUUUUCUGGAUUUCCUGUGUCACUAUUGUCAAUGUCCAUCAAGUUUUAAGGAAGUUGAUCUUAACAAAUAGAUAAGAUCAUUAAGGGUCUUGUCAUAGUCUGUUUCAUAGGUGUCCCAAAGGAACUCACUAUGUGACUUAGAAAGUGAUUGAACCACCAACUUUCUCAAGACUUUGACACCCAACUCUCCCGGCUUGUCAAUAUGUGACUACAUCUCCAAGAUGUG